rnacentral:rRNA from 1 species
CAUUCACGGAGAGUUUGAUCCUGGCUCAGGACGAACGCUGGCGGCGUGCUUAACACAUGCAAGUCGAACGAUGAAGCCCUUCGGGGUGGAUUAGUGGCGAACGGGUGAGUAACACGUGGGCAAUCUGCCCUUCACUCUGGGACAAGCCCUGGAAACGGGGUCUAAUACCGGAUAACACUCCCGCACUCCUGUGUGGGGGUUAAAAGCUCCGGCGGUGAAGGAUGAGCCCGCGGCCUAUCAGCUUGUUGGUGAGGUAAUGGCU